ACAAGCGGUGAGUGCUUUGGGGUGGGGUGACUGCGUACCUUUUGUAUAAUGGGUCAGCGACUUAUAUUCUGUAGCAAGGUUAACCGUAUAGGGGAGCCGUAGGGAAACCGAGUCUUAACCGGGCGUUAAGUUGCAGGGUAUAGACCCGAAACCCGGUGAUCUAGCCAUGGGCAGGUUGAAGGUUGGGUAACACUAACUGGAGGACCGAACCGACUAAUGUUGAAAAAUUAGCGGAUGACCUGUGGCUGGGGGUGAAAGGCCAAUCAAACCGGGAGAUAGCUGGUUCUCCCCGAAAGCUAUUUAGGUAGCGCCUCGUGAAUUCAUCUCCGGGGGUAGAGCACUGUUUCGGCUAGGGGGCCAUCCCGGCUUACCAACCCGAUGCAAACUGCGAAUACCGGAGAAUGUUAUCACGGGAGACACACGGCGGGUGCUAACGUCCGUCGUGAAGAGGGAAACAACCCAGACCGCCAGCUAAGGUCCCAAAGUCAUGGUUAAGUGGGAAACGAUGUGGGAAGGCCCAGACAGCCAGGAUGUUGGCUUAGAAGCAGCCAUCAUUUAAAGAAAGCGUAAUAGCUCACUGGUCGAGUCGGCCUGCGCGGAAGAUGUAACGGGGCUAAACCAUGCACCGAAGCUGCGGCAGCGACGCUGAUGCGUUGUUGGGUAGGGGAGC
rnacentral:rRNA from 1 species